rnacentral:rRNA from 1 species
GGAAUAUUGGUCAAUGGACGGAAGUCUGAACCAGCCAUGCCGCGUGGAGGAUGAAGGUCCUCUGGAUUGUAAACUUCUUUUAUAGGGGGAGAAAAGAGAUCAUUCUUGAUCUUCUGACGGUACCCUAUGAAUAAGCACCGGCUAACUCCGUGCCAGCAGCCGCGGUAAGACGGAGGGUGCAAGCGUUAUCCGGAUUUACUGGGUUUAAAGGGAGCGUAGGCGGAAUGUUAAGUCCGUGGUGAAAGCCCUCAGCUUAACUGAGGAACUGCCGUGGAUACUAUCAUUCUUGAAUGUCGUUGAGGUUUGCGGAAUGGGUCAUGUAGCGGUGAAAUGCAUAGAUAUGACCCGGAACACCAAUUGCGAAGGCAGCAGGCUAAACGAAUAUUGACGCUGAGGCUCGAAAGCGUGGGGAUCAAAC